rnacentral:rRNA from 1 species
GUAGGACUACCCGCUGAACUUAAGCAUAUCAAUAAGCGGAGGAAAAGAAACCAACAGGGAUUGCCUCAGUAGCGGCGAGCGAAGCGGCAACAGCUCAAAUUUGAAAUCUGGCUUCGGCCCGAGUUGUAAUUUGGAGAGGAUGCUUUGGGCGCGGCGCCUUCCGAGUUCCUUGGAACAGGACGCCAGAGAGGGUGAGAGCCCCGUACGGUUGGACUCCAAGCCUAUGUAAAGCUCCUUCGACGAGUCGAGUAGUUUGGGAAUGCUGCUCAAAAUGGGAGGUAAAUUUCUUCUAAAGCUAAAUAUUGGCCAGAGACCGAUAGCGCACAAGUAGAGUGAUCGAAAGAUGAAAAGCACUUUGAAAAGAGGGUUAAACAGUACGUGAAAUUGUUGAAAGGGAAGCGCCUAUGACCAGACUUGCGCUCCGCGAACCACCCGGCGUUCUCGCCGGUGCACUUCGCGGGGUGCAGGCCAGCAUCGGUUUUCCCAGGGGGAUAAAGGUCGUAGGAACGUGACUCUUCCGGGAGUGUUAUAGCCUGCGGCGUCAUGCCCCUGGGGGGACCGAGGACCGCGCUUCGGCAAGGAUGCUGGCGUAAUGGUCAUCAGCGACCCGUCU